GCCCGGUUAGCUCAAUCGGUAGAGCGUGAGACUCUUAAUCUCAAGGUUGCGGGUAAGUUGAUCAGAUAGCGGAUUCUGCAUAUUGUUCCCAAAUACUAACAUAGCCUAAUAGGUUCGACCCCCGCAUCGGGCU